rnacentral:rRNA from 1 species
GUCCUCUUGUUUAUAUAUGAGGUCUGACCUGCCCGGUGAAAAUUAAUUUUAACGGCCGCAGUAUUUUGACUGUGCAAAGGUAGCAUAAUCAUUAGUCUUUUAAUAGGGGGCUGGUAUGAAGGGUUUGACGAGGUGUUAACUGUCUCAUUUAAUUUGAAUUUAGAAUUUAACUUUUCAGUCAAAAGGCUGAAAUUAUAUUGGAAGACGAGAAGACCCUAUAGAGCUUUAUAAUUAAAUUUUUAAUUAUUUUUUGUUUAUUAUUUUUUAUUAUUACUUUAAUUAUUUUGUUGGGGUGACAAAAACAUAUGAUUAACUUUUUUAUUUAUUUAACAUUGAUUUAUGAAUAUUAGAUCCAUUAUUAUUGAUUGUUAGAUUAAGUUACCUUAGGGAUAACAGCGUAAUCUUCCUUCAGAGUUCAUAUUUACGGGAAGGCUUGCGACCUCGAUGUUGGAUUAAGAUAAUAGUUAGGUGUAGCCGCUUAAUACAUAGGUCUGUUCGACCUUUAAAUUCUU